UGGGGAAUAUUGCACAAUGGGCGCAAGCCUGAUGCAGCCAUGCCGCGUGUGUGAAGAAGGCCUUCGGGUUGUAAAGCACUUUCAGCGAGGAGGAAGGUGGUGAGCUUAAUACGCUCAUCAAUUGACGUUACUCGCAGAAGAAGCACCGGCUAACUCCGUGCCAGCAGCCGCGGUAAUACGGAGGGUGCAAGCGUUAAUCGGAAUUACUGGGCGUAAAGCGCACGCAGGCGGUUUGUUAAGUCAGAUGUGAAAUCCCCGGGCUCAACCUGGGAACUGCAUUUGAAACUGGCAAGCUAGAGUCUCGUAGAGGGGGGUAGAAUUCCAGGUGUAGCGGUGAAAUGCGUAGAGAUCUGGAGGAAUACCGGUGGCGAAGGCGGCCCCCUGGACGAAGACUGACGCUCAGGUGCGAAAGCGUGGGGCAGCAAACAGGAUUAGAUACCCUGGUAGUCCACGCUGUAAACGAUGUCGAUUUUGGAGGUUGUGCCCUUGAGGCGUGGCUUCCGGAGCUAACGCGUUAAAUCGACCGCCUGGGGAGUACGGCCGCAAGGUUAAAACUCAAAUGAAUUGCGGGGUC
rnacentral:rRNA from 1 species